CUGCAUAACUUGUGAUCCUAAUGUGAAUCUUAUGCAAAUAAUAAAUAACUUGUUUUCCCAUAAUCAAGUUGUUGCACACGAGUAAGAAAAACAAAUAAAAGAACAUGUGGACAUUAUUCUAAUUGAUUGACAUAAUAUUUACUUUUUCAGGUGUUAUCGUAUCAAGUAGAUGUUACAAUGCUGGCACUGUGUGCAUUUGAGCUUGGAAUUUCUGCCUGGAUUCUCACUUUCCUAAUCAUAUUGAGAAGGACAGCUUUAUAAGUGAAAAACAUACGUUGUUUUUCAAUACAACACUUUUUAAACUACCAAUCAUUUAAAUGUGAAAUGCUACAGCAGAACGCACUUACCGGCAUUCUUUUCAUAUCUGUUAUUAAAAGAACUAUGAAACGAU